CACUAGCGUAUAUUUAAGUUGUUGCAGUUAAAAAGCUCGUAGUUGGAUUUCGGGUGGGACGCAGCGGUCUCGCAUUGCGUUUGUACUGCUGCAGCCCUCCUUCUUGCCGGGGGCGGCCUCUCGGACUUCACUGUCUGGGGGUCAGAAUCGGCGAUGUUACUUUGAGUAAAUUAGAGUGUUCAAAGCAAGCUUACGCUCUGAAUAUAAUAGCAUGGGAUAACACGACAGGACUCUGGCCUAUCGUGUUGGUCUAUAGGACCAGAGUAAUGAUUAAGAGGGACAGUCGGGGGCAUUCGUAUUCCGUUGUCAGAGGUGAAAUUCUUGGAUUUACGGAAGACGAACAUCUGCGAAAGCAUUUGCCAAGGAUGUUUNCAUUGA
rnacentral:rRNA from 1 species